rnacentral:rRNA from 1 species
UACGUAGGGGGCAAGCGUUGUCCGGAAUCACUGGGCGUAAAGCGCACGUAGGCGGACUCUUAAGUCGGUGGUGAAAUCCUGGAGCUCAACUCCAGAACUGCCUUCGAUACUGAGAGUCUCGAGUCCGGGAGAGGUGAGUGGAACUGCGAGUGUAGAGGUGAAAUUCGUAGAUAUUCGCAAGAACACCAGUGGCGAAGGCGGUCUCACUGG